rnacentral:lncRNA from 1 species
UGGCUUUCAACGGCGGUUUGUAAGGGAUGACGAAGGAAGAGGUUUAUGGUUGGUUGAAGAAAAGGGUAAAUGACGAAAAGAGGAGGCGUGAGGUUGUUCGUCGGAGGCGGUUACGAACGAAGAUGUUGUUCUCGCGGCGGAAGGUAAGAGGCGGAAAAGGGUGAAUAGUGAUUAGUUUUUUUUAAAGAUCUGACGUUGAAGAUGUAGUGUGGAGGAUGGUCGUUGAAGAAGAUGAUGGAAGGUCGUCGCCGACGGUGAGGGAAGAUGAUGACGAUGAUGUUGGUUGUGUUGGUUUGCGUGGUGAAAAUGACGCGAAGGCAGUUUUCAGAGGAAGGAGUUUGGAUGUCAUUGGGUUGUGGUGACGGAAAAUGGAUACGGAUCAGAGUUGUGGUUGUUGGUGAGAGGAGAAGAAGUGAGACGUGGUGGUGAGAGGGCGAUGUAGCCGGAGUUGUUGACGGUGUGGUGUUGAGGAAGAUUGGGUUUGGGGUGUUGUGUUUGGUGGAGAAGAUGAAAGGUUUUUGGGUUUUUUGGAAAGGAGAAGAUGAUGUUCUCUUUUUGUUUUUCUUUGUUUUUCUCAGAGAGAGUCAUUGGAAGAUGUCCCUUGGUGGGUUCUCCUUCCAUUUUAUUUUUAUUUUUUUCGUUUCCUUAUUCUAGAGAGAGAGAGUAUUUUUUUUGUGGAGUCCUCGUGAGAGCAGAGAGAGUAUCUUUUUUUAUUUUUUUUGGAUUCUAUUGUUAAUAUCCUUUUUAUUACCAUUGGAGUACAACUUGUGAUGGUCCCCCUUCCAUUGGUCAGUGGGCCGUUGGUUUUUGAAACCAAGAAUAUCCAAUAUUCUUUUUUCUUCUUUUGUUUUCUAGCGAGAGAGAGAGAGAUGACGCGUGGAGGGGUUUUUAUGUUAUUUAUUUUCAGAUUUUUUUAAUAGAUUUAGUUAAAAUCCUAUUUUUUUAUUGGGUGAUAGAAAUGAAUAUGGAUUGCUAACACGGGCCUUUGAUUAACCCUGAUUUAAUGGUUGAGAUCAAUGGAAAGAAACACAAAUUCUAACCAACUUUAAAAAUGCCUAAAAUGCCCCUCCUAGAUAAUUUAAUUGAUUUAAACGAUUUAAAUCAAUUAAAUCAAAUAAAAUUGACAAUUCUCUAAAUAAAUAUGAUAAAAAUAAAAUAAGGACAUGGAAAAUUCUAUUUAUUUAAUCUGAAUAUUUUGGUGAAAGAAUAAAAAUAAAAUGACUAGAAAUGAAUAAAUGUCAGGUGAAAAUUUGCCCGGAAAAUUAAAUCGGACGCACUAAAGUUAUCAGCGCGAAAUAUACUUAUUGAAAAAAUACAGCAUUUUUUUAAAUUUUGAAAUAAUUUUUCACCGGUUAAAAGCCUCGGACGGAUUAAAAUGCGACUGCAAAAGUCCUUGAAAAAUAUAACGAGUACACUAGGUUAAACUACGCGAACCGUAGAUUAAUAAUACUGACGUCUGCAAGUUUGAUUUCGAAACUUUUUAUCCGCUGAUUUUGCACGUACUUGAGAAAUGAUUUAACCAAUUUGUCUGUAUAUUCCAGAGUUUAUUCCGACUGAUAUUUUAGGUGUUAUUUAUGAAGAAAUGCAUAUUAUGUUGUACACAUGAUGCGAACUGAAAAUGAAAUUGAAUUUAUGAAAAUUUAAAAUGCUCGGACAAAAUUGGGGUAUGACAGUUGCCCCUAUUUAAUUACCUUGAACCAGAAAGUACGAAUGACAACAAUCUUCGCGCAUUCUUGGUGGAAGAUAAUUAAAUACGAAAAGACCCAAAUUUUUCCUUUUGAAAUGCAAGGAAGAAAUGCAGUGAGAAAUAAAGUAAAAAAUUAUUGGAAGGUAAAUAAAACAAUCAAGACUCUCUGGGAAUCAUCAGAACAGUAUCUUGGAUGUCACAAUCGAGAUAUUCCAACAAUGGAAUGAUACCUCAAUUGUACCUAAGAUUUUCUGAAAAUUAGCAGAACAGUGUCUUGAUUUGAACGCACGAGAUUCUCUGAGGAUCAACGAAGCAGUACCUUACACAAUAUAAUUGAGAUAUUCCGACAAGGGAAUGAUACCUCAGUCGUGUCUAAGAUUCUCCGAGGAUACUAGAGCAGUAUCUCUGAAAAUAAAAUGAGACUCUUCAGGUAAACGAAGCAGUAUCUCAAAUAGAUAAAUGAAAUUCUUCAGAUAAAUGAAGCAGUAUCUCAAACAGAUAAAUGAGAUUCUUCAAACAAAUGAAGCAGUAUCUCAAGCAGAUAAAAUGAGAUUCACUGUAUCGAAUCGAAGCAGCAUCUUAUAUGAUGAAUCUAAGACUCUUCGAGGAUACUAGAGCAGUAUCUCUAAAAAUGAAUGAGACUCUUUAUAUUGAUGAAACAGCAUCUCAAACAGCAAAAAUGAGACUUUCUGUAUCAGAUCAAAGCAGCAUCUUAUAUGAUAGAAUUAAGAUAUUCCAAAUGAAGGGAAUGAUAUCUUAAUUGAAUCUAAGACUCUUCGAGGAUACUAGAGCAGUAUCUCUAAAAACAAAAUGAGACUCUUCAUAUUGAUGAAGCAGCAUCUCAAACAGAGAAAUGAGAUUCUUCAGAUAAAUGAAGCAGUAUCUCAAAUGUUCGUCUGUUGGGGGAAAUAUUUUAGAAAAGACUCCUUUUGGAGGAGAUUUACUAGAAAUGCCUUGCAGGGGAAAAGCUCAUGAGAGACUUUUUAGGGUAACCUUUGCUAGGGGAGCAAUGAUAGCAAAGAUGUUGGGGAAUAUCAUUAUCAACCAUAAAAUUGAAGAAUGACUUGCUAAGAAAUAAAUCUACAAGCACAUGCAGGGUAAUAACUUUAUUUAGAAACAAGGAAAAUCCGAGAUAUACAUAAAAGGCUCGGGACCCUGAUAUUUUAAUAUGAUUUUUGUAUGAUGUUCCACUUUGGGUGGAAAUACCAUGCAUGGGAUGAUGCAUGAGAUGUAUGCAAGUAUUCAAUUGUUGGGGAUAUGUAGGAUAUGCAUGUAGAAAUGCGAAUUAUUUUUUAUUUUGUAUAAGGUUAUGCAUAAGUAUGUUGAUGAUUGACGGGAUUGUGUUUGAUGAAAUUCCUGUUUGGUAGGAAAAUUAUGCAUGAACCGAUGCAUGUGAUUAUGUAGGAAUGCAACUGGGUACUUGGAUUUUUUGUAGGGUUUUAUUUUGUUUCCGAAGGGAUUAUUGGGGAAUAUCAUCAUCAAAGGGUUGAUGGAAUAGAUUGUCAUCAAUAGAGGGCUGAUGGAAAAGAAAAUUUCAUCGUCAAAGGGUUGACGGAAAGAAAAUUCACUAGGGAGCGACAUCAUCAAAGGGUUGGUGGAAAAAUCUAUCACCGUCAAAGGGUUGACAGAAAGAACAUGUCAUCGUCAAAGGGUUGAUGGAAAGAAACUGUCAUCGUCAGAGGGCUGAUGAAAAAUAAAUAUAUAUGUAUUAUCAUCGUCAAAGGGUUGAUGGAAUAGAUUUUCAUCAACAAAGGGCUGAUGGAAAAGAAAAUGUCAUCGUUAAAGGGUUGACGGAAAGAAACUUCACUAUGGAGUGGCAUCACCAAGGAGUUGGUGGAACAGAAAAUUUGUCAUUGUCAAAGGGUUGACAGAAAGAAAUUGUCAUCAUCAGAGAGCUGAUGGAAAAUAAAUAUAUAUGUAUUAUCAUUGUCAAAGGGUUGACGAAAGGAAACUUCACUAUGGAAUGGCAUCACCAAAGGGUUGGUGGAAAAGACUGUCAUCAUUAGAGGGCUGAUGGAAAAGAGACCUCACUAUGGAGUGGCAUCACCAAAGGGUUGGUGGAAAGGAUGAUCAUCAUCAGAGGGAUGAUAGAAAGGUGUUUAUCAUCGUCAAAGGGUUGACGGAAAGGUAACUUUGUCAUCGUCAAAGGGUUGACAGAAAGAAACUUCACUAUGGUGUGGCAUCACCAAGGGGUUGGUGGAACAAAAAAUUUGUCAUUGUCAAAGGGUUGACGGAAAACAUUUAAGGGAUAUCAUCACCAAAGGGUUGGUGGAAAAGAAAAUUUGUCAUCGUCAAAGGGUUGACGGAAAGAAACUUCACUAGGGAGUGGCAUCAUCAAAGGGUUGAUGGAAAGGAAUUAUUAUGUUAGGUAUGCAUAUGGUGCAUGAAAACCUCUCCUUUUUGUGAGAGAGCUUAUGGAUAUGCAACUUCCUGAUUUGGUAGGAAAAUUGUGUGUGUUUAUUGUAUGCAGUGCAUGUGGUAAUGCCAGAUGAAUAUUGGUUGUUUUUUAUUGAUCUCCCUUUUUGAAGGUGAGACUUUUUGGGUACCAAUGUUGAUUGGAUUUGAGUUUAUGGAGAUGCCAACAAAGUGGACUUUUUAAUUUGGUAGUUGCCAAUAUGGAUUGGGCUUUUGGUUGGUGAAAGGUUUUGAUUUCCCGACACUCUGUACUUUGACUAUGUGAUGAUUGGAGUGUAAACAUGGAUGCUAUUAGCGCCCCAAGUUUGAUCUUUUGUUGAUAGAUGGUGUGUUUGUUAUUGAGAGAACCUCAACUUAUUUGCUUGAUAUGCCUUGAUGGCUUGCAAAUGGUUUAAUAAGUGUAGCGACGUAAUCAAUGCAUGAUGAUUAUGCUUUUGCUCUACCUCGAGGCUCUUUGGAACUUGUCUGCCCAAGUCUGCAGGGUCCUUGAAGGAAUUCUCCUUUGAAAGGAAAUCCUGGGAAUGAAUAUACCAUGGCUUGAACCAAUUUUUCCCCAGUGUAUGAAUCUUUCUGUAGUUCGCCCCUGUUUGAGCUUUUGAAAGGCUUGCCCCAGAUGGACUGAAUAUUUUUUGAAAUGUUUUGCCUCCUUGAUCAAUUAAUGCUUGGAGAUUUGUCUUUUGAUUGACCAAUUCAUAGUCAUUGGAUACCAUGCCCUUAAUCCAUAGGGUUAAGGGUGUUCUUGCUUCGGGCCAGCAUUGACGAAUGAUCAAGUUCCUCUAUGAUUGCUUCUUUAAAGCUCCUUGAUGCCAAGUACUUACUUGAAGUUAAAAUUGUUCAUUUAAUCAAUGGUAAUUUUAAUGCGAUAUUCAUGCAGGUUUGAAAAGUCAUUUAUUGAUAUGAUGGGAUAGUGUGUGACGAAAGAACCAUUAGUUCAAACGUAUUGCUGCUUUAGCUAGGGUGUGAAAGGUACAGCGGGAAUAUGAUGCCAAUACAGGUGACUAGCAAAUAUUUAGGAGUCAGUUUAUGCAACCUUACUAUAGUAUGCUUUCAGAAUAAACCAUGCUUCAAUUAGGUCUUUUAAGGGUUGUAACAUGGUCUGGUUCACGGUUAUUGAAACAAAGGAUGUAAGGCUCAAAUUUUGUUUUAACCCACCCCUUCUUCAUGAUGAUCUCCAAUCCUAAGCUCAGUUAAUUCAACAUACACAUUCGUCUUUCAAGAGAGUUUGGUAGUGUAAGAUCUCUUGAAAUGGCAGUCAUCUUAUUUUGCUCUUCAUGGAUGUUGGUGACCCUUUGAUUUUGGUAUGAUGGUCACCGAAUCUUGUUUUGUUUUGUUGGGGGUUUUCACUGCCUCUUCUAAUUUUUGUUUUGAUCCCUAACUUUUGCCUGGACCGCUUUUUGAAGCUUUUAGUCCACCGGGAUUGCCCUAAUUUUUGCCUAAGUUUCCUUUUGGGGUAUCGACUUAACGAGCUUUUCCUUUGAUCAUUUGUUGAAAAAUCGUGACUGCCAAGUCAUUGGUCAUUGAAGAAUAACUGAUAUAAAUUUUGGAUUUUGUAUGGCUCCUUUAACCCUUUAGGAUAUGUGUGAAGAACAUCAUGUGGUUGAUCUCCAUAUGGGAUAUUUCAUCUUGUAAUUCGAAUGUGUAGUCAGAUUAACUAAACACUUCCCUGCCCCAGGUUAAGCGUAAGGGUUUGUAAAUCCGAAAGAAUCUCCUUCUUCUAGGCUCGAAGUGGUUUAACUAGGGAUUAACUCCUUAUUUCUCCAGUGUUUGGGAAUUUGAAACGAUGCAUGUACAUCAUCAGCAAGAUUUUAUCCAUAAGCAUACUAUUAGCAAUUAUGGGUAUUUCAUUUUCGCCAUCCUCCCUUCAAUCUUUGCUAAAAUAACAAUUUGAUAAAUGAAUGGGAGAAAUAUUUUUGUUUUUUUAAUAUAAAUGGAAAAUAUGAGUAAAUACGAAAGGAUUCGUUCAAAACAUGCAUGAUCAUUUCAUUAAUAUUACCAUUAAAGAAAAUCAACAAUGAAAGCAGAUAAGUACUUAACAUGUAAAGAAAAAUACAAUUGAAAUGCUAAAAAUAGUCAAAUGGUUGCCAGUGCAGAGGAAACUUUCUCGUGCCAGGUUCACUGCUGACUAUCCUUCUUCACAGUAAAGGUAGUUCUGCUCGUCGAGACUAUUAUGAUAAUCAUCUUCAGACCUAUUCUUGGAAAUUUCUUCCAUAACAUGGAGUGAUGGACCCGUAUAGCUAGAUGAAGAAGUAUUGUUGAGGUGAAGGCCUCGAGACGCAAAUGAGAACAUCUUGGAAUCAAGCAGGGUGUGUACCUUACUCUUGAGCACUUUGUAGUCUUCAGUUGAAUGCCCAUGAGCCACAACAUGGAAGUCACAUCAAGCGUCGGUGUCAAAACCUGGUGGAUAUGGAGGAAUGACUGGAUUUAGCUCCUUUGACACUAUCAGUCCUCUCUCAAUCAAAUAUGGAAAUACUUGACUAUAUGGCAUUGGAAGCGGAUCGAUGUGUCUCUCUGGUUUUCUUGGCCUUUAUUGAGCAUAUUGAUGAUGUCAGUGUGGAACAUCAUGUCGUUUGUAUGGGUAUUGAGAUGGAAUCCUUUGUUGAUACUGAUGAGAUAUUUGACUUGUAGGAUGCUGCCCAUGUGGAGAGAAUGGUGUUUGAUAUGAAGCUUGUGGGAUCUCCCAUACUGCAUUAACUCCACCAUCUUCUCCCUUUUGUGAAUUGACAAUAGAUUCACUCUCAAUGCUCUGGCUACUUGAGGCACAUUGGAUUCUUCCACUUUUAAGGUCAUACUUGAUGCGUUCUCCGAUUGACACCAAGUGAGUGAAGUCUGAUGCUACACUGCUAAUCAUCCUUUCGAAGUAAGGACUUUGCAAGGUAUCUCUGAAUAAUUCCAUGAAUUCUUUGCCUAAGAGUGGUGGUUCAACGCAAGCAGCUAACACUCUCCAUCUUUGGGAAUACCCUCUGAAGGAUUUGUUAUUUUCCUUAAAUAAGGCCCUUAGCUGCAUGCGAUCGGGAGCUAUGUCCAAAUUGUAUUUGUAUUGCUUCAAAAAGGCGGUAGCUAGGUUCAUCCAUGACCGAACAUGAUUCCUUUCUAACUUCAUGUACCAACUCAAUAAUGCCCCAGUCAAAUUGUCCUGAAAACAGUGAAUCAUUAGCUUAUCAUUGUGAGCAUAAGAGGUAAUUUUUGAACAGAACAUCACCAAAUGGUGCUUUGGACAGCUAUCCCCUUUAUACUUCUCAAAUUCUGGUACUUUAAAUUUUACGGGUAUAACCAGGCCAGGUACCAAACACAUGUCUAAGGCAUUCAGUUCAACAAUAUCUUGUCCUUCUAUGGCCUUGAGUAUUUUCUAUAGCACACUGCAUCUUUCAGCAAUCUCAUCAUCUUGUGGUCGUUUAGUAUUAACCACUAGGCUUGUCCUAUGGGAAUCUGGCGCAGAGAAUGCAAAAUUGUGAUACUCAAUAGCAUCAUGAUAUGAGGAACCCCCGUCUCGAACAAUAUGACAUUCUUCUACAACAGAGUUAUCAACUGGGGUUCGUACAGGCCGAGGUUGGGUAAGAUCAUUUACUGGAGUUGGAAUGACAUUCUCAAUAACUGCAGUCCGCUGAAUGUUGUCCUCUCUCUUUGCUAAAGUUAUCAUAGCCUCCACAAGUUGGUCUAUUUGAUUUUUCAUUGAUUCAACAUCUCCUCUUAAAGCAAUAUGACUUUGCUCCAACGGAUCCAUGGUCUUUCAAGAGCUACUUCAAGUCUGAUACGAAUGUCGGGAAUUCAAUUACGGGUUAUGGAAAAAGGAUGGGAUGAGUUUUUUUGUUUAUGAAAAUGAUAUGCAAUUCAUGCUGAUGAGAUGAGAAUGCAUGAAAUUUUGUAUUUAGGUAUGCAAAGAAAAUGUAAUGCAAGUAUAGUUAGGAUCCAGGAUAUCAUGAGUAUCAUAUGGUACACCCUAUGCGGAGGUUCUAUGUUCUCUACCCCACACACAAAGGAUGGCUCCUAAGAUUGUUCCUUUUCAAGACAGAACUUAGAGUCACGGAUUGUGUUCAGCAUCCCAUUGCAAUAAUGGGCUAGCCACAUCGUGAUGAAAGUUAUGAAUUAAUCUACUCUAAAUGGGAUCUUCGUAUUGUUCGAACAUAGUGUAGACCCCUCGGUUCAAUACUACACAAUCUCCAAUCAUGAAGAUGGACUUCGGUUUAAGGCGAGGCUCCUAGAGUCACGGACCGUGUUCAAAGUUUCCUCGCAAUAAUGGGCUAGCCAUAUUGUGAUUGAAAUUCCGAACAGAUCUACUCUAGGCGGAGUAUUAGUAUUGUCCCAACGAGGUGUAUACCCUUCAGUUCAAUCCUACACAACUCCAUGUUCUAAGUUCUUCUCAAAGCUCGGGUACGGAGCUUAUCUUACAAGAUGUACCAAGCACCAUAGACCACCCAACGUAAUAGCAGAAUAAAUCACAUAGCAUAAAUAAUACAGUAAGGUAUAAAGAAGCAAUAAGGAAGAAAAACAAUAUUUUAACAUUCAUAGCAAUUGAACUAAAUUAGGCUUGACUCUCUCUAGCUUGGAGCUAAAUCCCCAACAGCGUCGCCAUCUAUCGCAUCUCAAAAAAUACAAUUCCUCGCAAUGGUCGCGAAAAAAAUUAGUUCGAACAAAGUCGCCACCGAACUUUAUUUAUUCCAAUGAAGGAAUAGGAAAAUAUCGAUAAAACCUUUGAAAAACAGAAUAAUGAUCGUUGCAACCAUAUUCGGGUUCGAGAGUCGAUUACGCAAGGGGAAGGUAUUAGCACCCCUCAUGUCCAUUGUACCUAACAGGAACCUUUUAGUUUAAUUUGCGAUUUGAAUGUUAGCUGAAUGUUGUUUGUUUUCUUCAAAUGAAUAAGGAUUGAAAAUUGAGAUGGAUGGGAACCUCAGAAGGGAGAAAAUGGAGGUUUUUUAUUAGUGUGCUCACCAAGAUCUCGCAAUCUUGUGCCUAUGUUUCCUUAUAAUGCAAUAAGGAAGUCAGAGCAUUCGUAGUUCGGGGAACUACGGUUUGUUGGUAUCUUUUAUGAACGACUAUUUAGAUCACGUUCUAAAGGCUAAACGUUGGCUUGUCUACUCUCGGCGGAGGCUUAAGCACUAUUUUGUUGUGCGCGUUAGAAAGGAUUAAACAGUGUUCUUUUUUUAAAAAAAAGUUUCGAUCGCAAUGGGGGGUAGAAAUUAGAUUAAAUAUUGUUUGGUAUUUUGAAGAAGAGCGACGAAAGAUUGAGCAAUAUGGUGCACACCAAUCGUUCAAUUCAUUCGAGGAAUAACAAGGCGAGCGCCUCCUAUUUCCUUUUUCGUUCAAAUUAUUAUCGAAAGUUGUUUGCAGAAAUCGAAUAUGUGCGGUAGUGAGGCGUGCGCCUCUCACUUUCUUAUUCAAGGAAUGAUGAGGCGUGCGCCACCCAUUCCUUUAUCCAAUGUUCAUUUAACGUGUUUUAAUCGGCAGACGGAAAAAUCAAGCAAUAUGGCGAGCGCCAAUCAUUCAAUUAUUCUAGAGAUGGUGAGGUGAACGCCUCCCAUUCUUUUAUCAUCCGAAAUUUAAUUUAUAAAAGAAUGUUCUUAGAAGUUGUAUUAAUUUGGGAAAAUAACUUGAAUUUGUAUGAUUCAGGUUUUAAUCGGAAGUCAACAAUUUGAGCAAUAUGGUGCACGUCAAUCGUUCAAUUAUUCGAGAGAUGGUAAGGCGAACGACUCUCAUUCUCUUUUAUCAUCUGAAAUUUAAUUUAUAAAAGAAUAUUCUUAGAAAUUAUAUUUAAUUUGAAAAAGUGUUUUGAAUUCGAAUGAAAAUACUUUAAUCGGAUUUAGAGAAAAAUACUUGGUGUUGGACCAGGAUUUUAAAAUAGAUUCAUAAUUAUUUUUUAUUAUUUAAUCAACAUUAUCAUAUACUUAUUUAUUUAAUUUUUCAAUAAACAAAUAGAUGAAUAAUCAUUAAUCAAGUAUAUAAAAAAUAUGACUUUAUAUCUACUAUUUCCAUCCUAGAACCAAUUACUCAGUUAAUUAAUAAUAAUCAAAUUAAUAGGUAAUUAAAAUAAAAUAAAAUAAAAUAAAUAAAUAGUAAAAGAAAUAAUGGAAGGAUUAUUUUUUAGAGUUAAUCAUUAUAGGUUCAUCAAUUAAUCGUUAACUCAAUAUCAUGAUUAAGAUGCAAACAAAUAAUUUAAUGGAAUUAAAAUUAGAAAAAUUCCAAUGUUCCAAAAUAGCAAACAGAAUUAUGAAUUAUACAGUAAGAAAGUGCCAAUAGCACCAGUACGGAGUUAAUUUAAGUAAAAAGUCUAAGCCCAAUAAACCGUUAAAAUAAAAUAAGAUUGGGGCUUAAAAUCAAAGCAGGAGAAAUAGAUAUACCCUCACAAUUUCUCCUUUUUCCAAUGUCUUCCUCACUCUUGCAUCCCUUCGGUAACAAAAGAAAAACAUACUAACAAUAAAUGUGUUUCAACAUGAAAAGAAAAUUCACUUCUCUCUUAAUUUCAUUUUAAUUUUUCAACAUUUUCCAAUUGUUUUUCAUAGCCAUUAACAGAACAACUUGAAUUAAAUGGGAAAUCAAACGUGAGGAAAAAAAGAACACUUCACCGACAGUUAUGGAGGAACGGCGGCGUGGCAGUGGUUUGGCUUUCAACGGCGGUUUGUGAGGGAUGACGAAGGAAGAGGUUUAUGGUUGGUUGAAGAAAAGGGUAAACGACGGAAAGAGAAGGCGUGAGGUUGUUCGUCUGAGGCGGUUACGAACGGAGAUGUUGUUCUCGCGGCGGAAGGUAAGAGGCGGAAGAGGGUGCGUAGUGAUUAGGUUGUUUUUUUAAGGUCCAACGUCGAAGAUGUAGGGUGGAGGAUGGCCAUUGAAGAAGAUGAUGGAAGGUCGUCGCCAGAGGUGAGGUGAGAUGAAAGAGAUGAUGACGACGAUGUUAGUUGUGGUCGUUUGCAUGGUGGAAGUGACACGAAGGCGGUUUCCGACGAAAGGAGUUUGGAUGUCGUUGGGGUUUGGUGACAGAAAAUGGAUACGGAUCGGAGUUGUGGUUGUUGGUGAGAGGAGAAGAAGUGAGACGCAAUGGUGAGAGGGCGAUGUAGUCGGAGUUGUUGACGGUGUGGUGUUGAGGAAGAUUGGGUUUGGGGUGUUGUGUUUGAUGGAGAAGAUGAAAGGUUUUUCGUUUUUUUUGGAAAGGAGAAGAUGAUGUUUUCUUUUUAUUUUUCUUUGUUUUCCUCAGAGAGAGUCAUUGGAAGAUGUCCCUUGGUGGGUUCUCCUUCCGUUGUUUUUUUUCGUUUCCUUAUUCCAGAGAGAGAGAGAGUAUUUUUAGUGGAGUCCUCGUGAGAGCAGAGAGAGUACCUUUUUUUAUUUGUUUGGAUUCUAUUGUUAAUAUCCUUUUUAUUACCGUUGGAGUACAACUUGUGAUGGUCCCCCCUUCCAUUGGUCAGUGGGUCGUUGGUUUUUGAAACCAAGAAUAUCCAAUAUUCUUUUUUCUUUUUUUGUUUUCUAGCGAGAGAGAGAUGACGCGUGGAGGGGUUUUUAUGUUAUUUAUUUUCAUAUUUUCUUAAUAAUAGAUUUAGUUAAAAUCCUAUUUUUUUAUUGGGUGAUAGAAAUGAAUAUGGAUUGCUAAGAUGGGUCUUUGAUUAACCUUGAUUUAAUGGUUGAGAUCAAGUGAAAGAAACACAAAAUGUAACCAACUUUAAAAAAUGCCUAAAGUUCCCCUCCUAGAUAAUUU